CCUACGGGGUGCAGCAGUGGGGAAUAUUGGACAAUGGGCGAAAGCCUGAUCCAGCCAUGCCGCGUGUGUGAAGAAGGCCUUCGGGUUGUAAAGCACUUUCAGUGGGGAAGAAAGCCUUGGGGCUAAUACCCUCGAGGAAGGACAUCACCCACAGAAGAAGCACCGGCUAACUCCGUGCCAGCAGCCGCGGUAAUACGGAGGGUGCGAGCGUUAAUCGGAAUUACUGGGCGUAAAGCGCGCGUAGGCGGUCUGAUAAGCCGGUUGUGAAAGCCCCGGGCUCAACCUGGGAACGGCAUCCGGAACUGUCAGGCUAGAGUGCAGGAGAGGAAGGUAGAAUUCCCGGUGUAGCGGUGAAAUGCGUAGAGAUCGGGAGGAAUACCAGUGGCGAAGGCGGCCUUCUGGACUGACACUGACGCCGAGGUGCGAAAGCGUGGGUAGCAAACAGGAUUAGAUACCCUUGUAGUC
rnacentral:rRNA from 1 species